GACGAACGCUGGCGGCGUGCUUAACACAUGCAAGUCGAGCGGUAAGGCCUUUCGGGGUACACGAGCGGCGAACGGGUGAGUAACACGUGGGUGAUCUGCCCUGCACUUCGGGAUAAGCCUGGGAAACUGGGUCUAAUACCGGAUAUGACCUCCUAUCGCAUGGUGGGUGGUGGCAAGAUUUAUCGGUGCAGGAUGGGCCCGCGGCCUAUCAGCUUGUUGGUGGGGUAAUGGCCUACCAAGGCGACGACGGGUAGCCGACCUGAGAGGGUGACCGGCCACAAUAGGACUGAGAGACGGACCAGACGCCUACGGGAGGCAGCAGUGGAAAAUAUUGCACAAUGGGCGAAAGCCUGAUGCAGCGACGCCGCGUGAGGGAUGACGGCCUUCGGGUUGUAAACAUCUUUCAGCAGGGACGAAGCGCAAGUGACGGUACCUGCAGAAGAAGCACCGGCUAACUACGUG
rnacentral:rRNA from 1 species